UACAGAGGGUGCGAGCGUUGUUCGGAAUUAUUGGGCGUAAAGGGCGCGUAGGCGGUGCCACAAGUCACUUGUGAAAUCCCCGGGCUUAACUCGGGGCUGCAGGCGAAACUGUGGUGCUGGAGUAUGGGAGAGGUGCGUGGAAUUCCGGGUGUAGCGGUGAAAUGCGUAGAUAAUCGGGAGGAACACCUGUGGCGAAAGCGGCGACCUG
rnacentral:rRNA from 1 species